CAAACGACUCUCGGCAACGGAUAUCUCGGCUCAUGCAUCGAUGAAGAACGUAGCGAAAUGCGAUACUUGGUGGGUGAAUUGCAGAAUCCCGUGAACCAUCGAGUCUUUGAACGCAAGUUGCGCCCGAAGCCAUUCGGCCGAGGGCACGCCUGCCUGGGCGUCACGC
rnacentral:rRNA from 1 species